GGCGAAUUGGUGUAGUGGUUAGCAUUACCGCCUCUCACGCGGUAGACACGAGUUCGAUUCUCGUAUUCGUCA